rnacentral:tRNA from 1 species
GGUUGUAUAGUGUAGUGGAUAGCACGCCAGAUUCUGAUACGAUCUGAUUUCUGGCGACCCCGGUUCGAUCCCGGGUACGACCU